rnacentral:rRNA from 1 species
GAGGAGCUUGCUCUUCUUGGAUGAGUUGCGAACGGGUGAGUAACGCGUAGGUAACCUGCCUGGUAGCGGGGGAUAACUAUUGGAAACGAUAGCUAAUACCGCAUAAGAGUAGAUGUUGCAUGACAUUUGCUUAAAAGGUGCAAUUGCAUCACUACCAGAUGGACCUGCGUUGUAUUAGCUAGUUGGUGAGGUAACGGCUCACCAAGGCAACGAUACAUAGCCGACCUGAGAGGGUGAUCGGCCACACUGGGACUGAGACACGGCCCAGACUCCUACGGGAGGCAGCAGUAGGGAAUCUUCGGCAAUGGACGGAAGUCUGACCGAGCAACGCCGCGUGAGUGAAGAAGGUUUUCGGAUCGUAAAGCUCUGUUGUAAGAGAAGAACGAGUGUGAGAGUGGAAAGUUCACACUGUGACGGUAUCUUACCAGAAAGGGACGGCUAACUACGUGCCAGCAGCCGCGGUAAUACGUAGGUCCCGAGCGUUGUCCGGAUUUAUUGGGCGUAAAGCGAGCGCAGGCGGUUAGAUAAGUCUGAAGUUAAAGGCUGUGGCUUAACCAUAGUACGCUUUGGAAACUGUUUAACUUGAGUGCAAGAGGGGAGAGUGGAAUUCCAUGUGUAGCGGUGAAAUGCGUAGAUAUAUGGAGGAACACCGGUGGCGAAAGCGGCUCUCUGGCUUGUAACUGACGCUGAGGCUCGAAGCGUGGGGAGC